rnacentral:rRNA from 1 species
AACGAACGCUGGCGGCGCGCCUAAUACAUGCAAGUCGAACGAGAAGCUGUAGCAAUACAGUUGUACAGUGGCGAACGGGUGAGGAAUACAUGGGUGACCUACCCUCGAGUGGGGAAUAACCAGCCGAAAGGUUGGCUAAUACCGCGUACGCUUCCCAGUCUACGGGUUGGGAAGGAAAGCGAUGCCGUGGGUAUCGCGCUCAAGGUUGGGCUCAUGUCCUAUCAGCUGUUGGUGGGGUAACGGCUCACCAAGGCAACGACGGGUAGCUGGUCUGAGGGGACGAUCAGCCACACUGGCACUGCGACACGGGCCAGACUCCUACGGGAGGCAGCAGUAAGGAAUAUUGCGCAAUGGGCGAAAGCCUGACGCAGCGACGCCGCGUGGGUGAUGAAGGCCUGGUCGUAA